UCUGAUCUAUAAGAGUCGAUUAGGAAUGUGGACACUCCUGCAGCAAUUUCUCCUCAGCGAGUACCCAUCCUGGGUUGUUCCCCGUCCAGUGCCCACUGCUUCUGGGAUAGGCUCCGGACCCCCUGCGACCCAGAAGGAUAAGCGGUUUGGAAAUUUGGAUGGAUGGAUGGACUUUGGACGGCAAUGGAGUGAAGUUUUACAUCCUGUAAACGAUGUGUUCUGAGAUGUUUGAGAGAACAUCUUGUGGUGUUGUACUAGUCUGUGUGAAAUCGAUGCAGGAGGUACAGCGUGUUAUCAAAGGGAGGUGCGUAAAGUCAAAGUGCGUCAGUCUGCACCGCCGCUCUGUUCCCCUCUCACCACUUUUAUUGCGGUGAUUCCUUUUUUCUUAACUUUACAUCCCCUGACAUCCGCCAAACAGACUACUGACAUUUCAGCCAAGAUUUCAGUAAUGUUUCCAACAGUCUGCAUUUCCUGUCUUAUAAACGUCAGACAGGUACUGGAACAGCUAAAUAUUCAAAACUCAUCCAUCCAUCUUCCAGCAACUAAUCUCAGUCAGUGUCAGAGGGACCCUGGUCCCUUACACACUCACAAACACACUCAUACCCUACAGUCAUUCAUAGCCCCAAGUAGUCCUUGCAUUUAACAUGCAUGUGACAAAUUGGUUAGAGUAAUUAAACUUAAUACUUUUCAUGACGGUACAUACAAUUAGGGGAAAUUAAAUAACGUGGUGUUGCAGGAUUGUUUACCGGCAGACAAUUUUUCCAAUCCCCUUAGGCCUAUUAUAUGACGAUACAAACAAUUAGGAUAAGUUGACUUUAAUGACAACAUGUAGUGAUACACAAAUUUCACAGCAACUAAUAGGAGCAAUGUCAUUUAAGUUAACAUUUGCGCUGUUUGGAGAAAUUGGCAUGCAUGUUGUUACGGUUCUGUACAUUCUGGUUAUAAAUCAAACUUCCUGAAAAUUCCACGCCUUAGCAGUUUCAACGUAGCGUUACAAAUCACAUACACGCACGCACAUAAUCGCACAAUGCAUACACUCAAGCAUGCACGGGCAUAGACUAGGCUAUUUAUCGUGAAUUUCGCCAGUAAAUAUAUCUUUGUGCUUCUUUAGAAACAGUAGUUAGUCCAGUAAUUGAUGUAUAUUUGCUUGUCACGUGCGGACUGAACAGAAGACGCAGGAGCAGGCAUUGGGGCAAACAAAGGGUUUAUUAAAAGGUACUGAAACAAACAAGAAACAGGAUGGAGAGAACAGGGGGGGAGGAUAAGGAACAGCAGACUAGACAAUACGAUUUCAGUGAUGGAACUGGGGAACACAAGACAGGGAAGCACUAAUGAGGGACAAGUGUGGCUGGUUAAAGCCACACCAGGAGGGAGAUCAAGCAGGGUAAGAUAUGACAGUACCCCCACCCCAUACACAAAUGAAGAACAAACUGGGGAGAGGACCAAGGGGCCACACAAUGGGGUGGUCAGAUAAGGACAUGGACUAGACACAAGACAGGACAGGAACAAACAAAACCUCAACACAGGAGUAGUGCACAGCUUGGGAUUAUGGGUACAGAGAUUGAGAGAUACCAGACCGGAGCACAAGAUCCAACACAGAACACCACUAAGAGCACAGAACAAACCAGAAACAGCAAGGAGAACAGACCAAACACCACUGAGAAGAACCUGUGCGGACAGGUGGACAAACCAGGAGUGCAGAGACACAAGCAAGACCUAUGAAGGAUGUAUAGACAGAACAAGAGAAACUAACCGGAGGACACCACAAGAUCAGGUCGUUGAACAUAUAUCCAACCAGAGUAUCUUCCAGGGUGCAGAAACGGCGUGUGAUGGCCGAGUAACUGUGUACAAACUCCCGGGUCUUACUCCAGAAGAGGAGCUGGCGAGCAAGAACAUGUUUCACACAAGCUGCAAGAAGAAGAUGAAGCAGAACCAGGACUAAUGAGUGUCACAUAGCUGAAGCACCGUCCCAGGACGAUCUGUUUGAGGUUGGGCGUCGUCCCCACGUCAGCGCCGAGGUCAUCGAAGAAGAGCAGGAGCACGAGAGCAGCUGGGAGAUGGUGUGUGUGUGUGUGUGGCAGAUGAUCCAAAGAAAGGAUACAUAUUAAAAAGGUUACAAAUGUAACUGAUGCAAGUUUAUUAACCCUCAUUCUAAAAACAAUAAAAUUGAGCAUUAUGUUCCUCCA